CCUACGGGAGGCAGCAGUGGGGAAUAUUGCACAAUGGGGGAAACCCUGAUGCAGCGACGCCGCGUGAAGGAUGAAGUAUUUCGGUAUGUAAACUUCUAUCAGCAGGGAAGAAAAUGACGGUACCUGACUACGACGCCCCGGCUAACUACGUGCCAGCAGCCGCGGUCAUACGUAGGGGGCAAGCGUUAUCCGGAUUUACUGGGUGUAAAGGGAGCGUAGACGGCAUGGCAAGUCUGAUGUGAAAACCCGGGGCUCAACCCCGGGACUGCAUUGGAAACUGUCAGGCUAGAGUGUCGGAGAGGCAAGUGGAAUUCCUAGUGUAGCGGUGAAAUGCGUAGAUAUUAGGAGGAACACCAGUGGCGAAGGCGGCUUGCUGGACGAUGACUGACGUUGAGGCUCGAAAGCGUGGGGAGCAAACAGGAUUAGAUACCCCUGUAGUC
rnacentral:rRNA from 1 species